rnacentral:rRNA from 1 species
GGGAUUGCCCUAGUAACGGCGAGUGAAGCGGCAACAGCUCAAAUUUGAAAUCUGGCGCAAGCCCGAGUUGUAAUUUGUAGAGGAUGCUUCUGGGUAGCGACCGGUCUAAGUUCCUUGGAACAGGACGUCAUAGAGGGUGAGAAUCCCGUAUGUGACCGGCCCGCACCCUUUACGUAGCUCCUUCGACGAGUCGAGUUGUUUGGGAAUGCAGCUCUAAAUGGGAGGUAAAUUUCUUCUAAAGCUAAAUACCGGCCAGAGACCGAUAGCGCACAAGUAGAGUGAUCGAAAGAUGAAAAGUACUUUGGAAAGAGAGUUAAAAAGCACGUGAAAUUGUUGAAAGGGAAGCGCCUGCAACCAGACUUCGCGGCAGUGUUCCGCCGGUCUUCUGACCGGUUCAUUCGCUGUCGUGAGGCCAUCAUCGUCUGGGCCCGCCGGAUAAGACCGUAGGAAUGUAGCUCACCUUCGGGGGAGUGUUAUAGCCUAAGGUGAUGCGGCGAGGCUCGGGCGAGGUCCGCGCUUCGGCAAGGAUGAUGGCGUAAUGGUUGUCGGCGGCCCGUCUUGAAACACGGACCAAGGAGUCUAACAUCUAUGCGAGUGUUCGGGUGUCAAACCCCUACGCGUAAUGAAAGUGAACGGAGGUGGGAACCGCAAGGUGCACCAUCGACCGAUCCUGAUGUCCUCGGAUGGAUUUGAGUAAGAGCAUAGCUGUUGGGACCCGAAAGAUGGUGAACUAUGCCUGAAUAGGGUGAAGCCAGAGGAAACUCUGGUGGAGGCUCGCAGCGGUUCUGACGUGCAAAUCGAUCGUCAAAUUUGGGUAUAGGGGCG